rnacentral:snRNA from 1 species
GAAGAUGUGGACAACAUCUUUUGA